GACGAACGCUGGCGGCGUGCUUAACACAUGCAAGUCGAGCGGUAAGGCCCUUUCGGGGGUACACGAGCGGCGAACGGGUGAGUAACACGUGGGUGACCUGCCCCCAGCUCUGGGAUAAGCCUGGGAAACCGGGUCUAAUACCGGAUAUGACUCCAUGACGCAUGUUGUGGGGUGGAAAGCCUUGUGCGGCUGAGGAUGGGCCCGCGGCCUAUCAGCUUGUUGGUGGGGUGAUGGCCACCAAGGCGACGACGGGUAGCCGGCCUGAGAGGGCGACCGGCCACACUGGGACUGAGACACGGCCCAGACUCCUACGGGAGGCAGCAGUGGGGAAUCUUGCGCAAUGGGCGAAAGCCUGACGCAGCGACGCCGCGUGAGGGAUGACGGCCU
rnacentral:rRNA from 1 species